rnacentral:sRNA from 1 species
UCCCUCUAUAAUGGAUAUCUGUAUAUAUCGGAUGUGAUUCUUAUGUCUCCUAAUAUUAAAAAUUGCUAACUUGGAAUUCUAGUAGAGAUUUGGGGUCAUGUAAGGUCUGCCAUAUACUUCGAAUUGGAAUAUACUCAUUAAGAUGAGUAUCAAAGAACAGUGAAGGUUAGAUUUAUUACUGUUAGCUCAUGCUUCCAAAGGGUAUUGCAAAGAUACCUCCAAGACAUAUUUACUGUUUUGUAUUCUAUUUAUACCAGGCCUUCCUAGCAUUGUAAAUUGAGUUACCUGUACUGUUACACAAUGGAAACCGAUUUCCCUUUUAGUUUGAGUUAGUUGCAACUGAUAACAGUUGUCACUUUUUUUACUCAAGGGUAUGAAAGUGCCAGUAUGUCUAGCACAUGUGAACCUUGCAAAAGUAGGAACAGACAUUCAGCCCAGACUGAAGAGCCUGUUCAAGCAAAAGUAUUCAGCAGAAAGAAUCAUGAGCAACUGGAAAAAAUAAUAAAAUGUAAUAGGUCUACAGAAAUAUCUUCAGGCUGGAGUGCAGUGGUGCGACCUCGGCUCACUGCAACCUCUGCCUCCCGGGUUCAAGCGAUUCUCCUGCCUCAGCCCACUGAGUAGCUGGGACUACAGCACAUGCUAGGAGAAUACUACAGCAGUCUAACAGAAAUGCAUGCAAUGA